AUGGUCAAGAAAAGGCUUCAUCCGGACAAGGUGGUGCAUUGCAGACUGUGCCUUUGACUUGGUGAAUAUCCAUCUUUUCCAUGAUGCUUCCACUCUGGUCGCCUGGGAAACAAGCCCUUCCGUGUACUCGGGAAUCCGGCACAAGGCACUGGGCUACGUGCUGGACAGAAUCAUCGAUCAGCGAUUCGAGAAGGUUUCCUACUUUGUGUUUGGCGAUUUCAACUUCCGGCUGGAUUCCAAGUCCGUCGUGGAGACGCUCUGCACAAAAGCCACCAUGCAGACGGUCCGGGCCGCCGACACCAAUGAAGUGGUGAAGCUCAUAUUUCGUGAGUCGGACAACGACCGGAAGGUUAUGCUCCAGUUAGAAAAGAAACUCUUCGACUACUUCAACCAGGAGGUUUUCCGAGACAACAAUGGCACCGCGCUCUUGGAGUUUGACAAGGAGUUGUCUGUCUUUAAGGACAGACUGUAUGAACUGGACAUCUCGUUCCCUCCCAGCUACCCGUACAGUGAGGAUGCCCGCCAAGGUGAGCAGUACAUGAACACCCGGUGCCCGGCCUGGUGUGACCGCAUCCUCAUGUCCCCGUCUGCCAAGGAGCUGGUGCUGAGGUCGGAGAGCGAGGAGAAGGUUGUCACCUAUGACCACAUUGGGCCCAACGUCUGCAUGGGAGACCACAAGCCCGUGUUCCUGGCCUUCCGAAUCAUGCCCGGGGCAGGUAAACCUCAUGCCCAUGUGCACAAGUGUUGUGUCGUGCAGUGACGUGGUGGGAAGAGAUGCCAGCGCCACGAGAGGACCCUUCGUGAGCCCUCCCUGUAGCCGUGUACCGAAUACGCACUCUUGAAAGCUGCAUCAAGAACCCGCCCAAGCGCCACCUGCUAGACGGCCAGCCCCACACUUCGCUUCAGCCUCCGGACCAUUCCGGAACAGCCUCACAUACCUCACUGUCUCGUCUGUUCAUGUGACAUUAAGUAGAAAUAUUGGGUUUUUUUUUUUAAAUAAGUCACAGUCCUGUUGUCAAAACUCUAUAAUAGACAGCAAAGAGGGUUCAUGCCGUAGACUCCGCAGUUUUCAGUUUUUAAUGAUUGUCAGUGGAGGGGCUUCUCCAGCACAGAGACCCCCCCACUGUGUCCAGAGACCCCCUCUGCCAGGUGGAGGUGUGUCCAGGGGCUGGGGAAGCCGAGACGGGCGCUCCCUCUGCCGGCCAGCAGCGUGGCCCUGAGCGUGGCGAGGGCGUCUGUCUCUGCCGAUGCUCCUUCCGCGGCACUGACUCUGCGCCGUGUCACAUGGUUUUUGAAUCACACUGCAGCUGCUUUCCAUUUUUAUAUAUAUAUAAAUACAUAUAAAUAUAUACUUUUUAAAAAUAAUUUAUAAAUCUUACCAAAACUUAUGCUAAAUGUACUUUCCAGUAAGAACGCACAGGAGAGUCCCAUCAGCAGGCGGCAGCACUGGAGCCUCGGAGCUCAGCUGUGUGUCCGUCAACACACAAAUUAGGAAAAACACACUUGGCCUCGCCGUCGUGGGUAAAAUCGGCCCCACAGCACGUCUGCACUAGCGGCCGUUACUCCCGUGCCGUUCUUCUGUGUAAUAUUAAGAACUGAAUGUGAAGUUUAUAGCUAGCCUGGGUGUACCUUUUAAGAAUUUUGUAAACCGUUUGUCUGUCUUUUGUUACUGUUUUAUGGUGCCAAGUAUUCUACAUUACAACAAUGAUAACAUGGGAGAAAUAGAAAUAGCCUAGUUUGCUUCCAAUAGAAACUGCUUUUAACAUGGGCUGUAUAUACAAAUAUUAAAGAGAAACAAAACUGUACAUUUCCUCAUUGCUCCGCUACAAACAACCCACGUAAUAACCUUGUUGCAAAUAUUUUUCUCCUAUAGCACUAAGUACAGCAUUAAAAGGUGAUUAGAGAGUCUGUUGAUGAAACACAAAUGUAUGUUUUAUUGAUUUUACUUUAGAACACUACAGAGUUCCUGGACCGGGUGAAGGCAUUAGCUGGGUGUUUGGGAUAAAUACUACCACUGCAAGUGACUGCUGUCCACUGUGGAAUCUGUUCUCGGUGGAAGCACCGGUCCGUGUCCCUGCUGUGGUUGCCGCUGUCCGCAGUUCCACACGGAGUCCGCCCCACGGGUUUCAGCUGUUGGUCGUUCUGAGGGCCUUUAGAAGUGACUGGUCUGGUUCCUAAGCAAUAAAAUUGACCGUGGUGAAAAUA